UCACAACCACUAGACCAAUUAAAUGUUGACACACGCUGCUUUGUUUGGAACUCCCUGAAAAACUAUUAACAGAACUGCUAUAUUGGCAAAAUAUGAUCAACAAUUCUGUACAUUGCAACCACAAACCAAUAAUCACCUACUCUUUGACAAUCUCACCUCAAAAACACUGCCUGGGUAAAAAUGAAAAGGUAAUGGGAGGUAAUGCAAAACUAGAAGAGGUAUCAUGAAUAAAGAUGCAAAGAAAUAAAAAAUGCAGCACAUAUCAG
rnacentral:lncRNA from 1 species